AGUGGAUUGCAAAAUAUAUAGGACGGUUAUAGAACAGGGGGUGGAAAAAAUAUGGCAGUAGUUUAGCAGCUGCUUUCUCUCUCAUCUCUCAGGCUUUCUUACAGCUGGACUGAAAAUCUCUUGAACUACUUCCAUUAAGCUCAGUUGUCCUAAAUCCUUUCUUUCUCAGAUGGAAGGAAAGCUGCAUCCCUGAUAGCUGGUAUGCAAUGAAGGGAGCAAAAGGAAAGUACUUUGCUUCAAGAAAGGACUCUGGUAGUAAUGAUCAAGAAGAUGCCUGCCACGAACUUUCUAAAAAAACGCCAUUUCACAAGACCAUAGCAGUUUCUUCUGAAAACACUAAUUCACAGAUACCCAUGGCAGGCUAAGAGGUUAAGAGACCCAUCUAGAGGAGUGGAAAAAAUUAUGAACAAGUCCUUUGUCUUGACCCUUAGUGUACUAUUUAGAUUCUUUAUUAUAGCAUUCAUCUGGAACAAGGAACUGCAGCUUCUCUCCUGGAUACGGUCAGGGACUGAGAAGACCCUGACUGGUCUAUCAUUCCCUGGAUCCUUCGCAUUGGGAUUUAAUCCUCAAAUAAAGCUCAGAGAGGGAUUUGGAGAAAGAAAAUGAAAUGAGAUCAACAGUUUAUUAAAAUAUUUUAUGCAGAUUAAUAACGUGCAUUAAAUGUGCACAGAGACACAGGUAUAUCACUGUUGUAUUUGUCAAAGAUAAACUAUAUUGCUGUCAAGCAUCCAUAUAAAAUCCAUGUAGAUGCACCUAUAUGCAAGCUAAACUUGAGUCUUGCCUUCUACAUGAAGAAUGCUCUCUCCAAUUCUGUUGUGGUCUAUCUUCUUAAGGAAUAAUGAAUGCAGAGGCAAGAGACAUAACAGGAUCUCUUUAAGGAAACAGAAGGUAGUAGGCAAAUAAGCUGGGGAAUGGAGUCCAGGUGGUAAUUGGAUUGCUAUCUUCUGCACAGGAUAAAACCUAGUUGAUUGUCAUCUUCAGGGAGAAAAGGGAUUCCAGGGAGAAUAAGGAAACUUAAGGGCUUGCUGGUGAGUGGCUCAGGGGAAGAGUGGGGAGCUCUAUCCCAAGACAUUUUUCCUGCAUCGCUGGUAGAUGGCCAGAGGGCUUAAGCUUUCAGUUGCUGUUAGGAAAAAUCAGAAAAAACCACCUCAGCAGAGACAGGAUUAAGAUCUUUGCAUCAAAGGUUGUGCGCCAGUCAGGAAGCUAGAGGAGGCUACAUUGCUAGCUCUUAGAAAGGGAAUGGUAUCAUUAAAUACUUCUAUUAGAAAAAUCUGGUAGGAAACUGAGAGGCAGGACCAUGUUGUGCUGUGAGGGAGUGUGUUCUGGUACGGCACUGGGUUGUUAACUGAAAAUGCCAAUUAAAUUCUUGCUACUUACGUGGCAUGAAAAAAAUGUCAUUAAUUUGGUGGAAUACAAAAACACCCCUUCAACAAAAUGAAUGUUGUUUAUUGGUCAUGACAUAUCACGUUAAUGGUGUCA